rnacentral:rRNA from 1 species
AGCAGUGGGGAAUUUUGGACAAUGGGCGCAAGCCUGAUCCAGCAAUGCCGCGUGAGUGAAGGAGGCCUUCGGGUUGUAAAGCUCUUUUGUCAGGGAAGAAACGGUGAGGGCUAAUAUCCCUUGCUAAUGACGGUACCUGAAGAAUAAGCACCGGCUAACUACGUGCCAGCAGCCGCGGUAAUACGUAGGGUGCAAGCGUUAAUCGGAAUUACUGGGCGUAAAGCGUGCGCAGGCGGUUUUGUAAGUUUGUCGUGAAAGCCCCGGGCUCAACCUGGGAAUUGCGAUGAAGACUGCAAGGCUUGAAUCUGGCAGAGGGGGGUAGAAUUCCACGUGUAGCAGUGAAAUGCGUAGAGAUGUGGAGGAACACCGAUGGCGAACGCAGCCCCCUGGGUCAAGAUUGACGCUCAUG